AGUGAACGCUGGCGGUAGGCCUAACACAUGCAAGUCGAACGGCAGCACAGUAAGAGCUUGCUCUUACGGGUGGCGAGUGGCGGACGGGUGAGGAAUACAUCGGAAUCUACUUUUUCGUGGGGGAUAACGUAGGGAAACUUACGCUAAUACCGCAUACGACCUACGGGUGAAAGCAGGGGAUCUUCGGACCUUGCGCGAUUGAAUGAGCCGAUGUCGGAUUAGCUAGUUGGCGGGGUAAAGGCCCACCAAGGCGACGAUCCGUAGCUGGUCUGAGAGGAUGAUCAGCCACACUGGAACUGAGCCACGGUCCAGAGUCCUACGGGAGGCAGCAGUGGGGAAUAGUGGACAAUGGGCGCAAGCCUGAUCCAGCCAUACCGCGUGGGUGAAGAAGGCCUUCGGGUUGUAAAGCCCUUUUGUUGGGAAAGAAAAGCAGCAGGUUAAUACCCCGCUGUUCUGACGGUACCCAAAGAAUAAGCACCGGCUAACUUCGUG
rnacentral:rRNA from 1 species